GCUGGAUUAUUUUCCCGCGCAUAUUGGAGAUGGUCACAUAAAUAUGUUCAACCAAAACGUACAACAGUUGCUCCAUUGAUUCAUAUUCUUGCAGGUUCCAUGUUGUUUUUCUACGCUAUUAACUAUGGCAAAUUUGUUCAUCAUCGCAACUACAA
rnacentral:lncRNA from 14 species